UGGGGAAUUUUGGACAAUGGGCGAAAGCCUGAUCCAGCCAUGCCGCGUGAGUGAAGAAGGCCUUCGGGUUGUAAAGCUCUUUUAGUCGGAAAGAAAGAGUCGCAAUGAAUAAUUGUGAUUUAUGACGGUACCGACAGAAAAAGCACCGGCUAACUACGUGCCAGCAGCCGCGGUAAUACGUAGGGUGCGAGCGUUAAUCGGAAUUACUGGGCGUAAAGGGUGCGCAGGCUGUUUGGCAAGUCCGAUGUGAAAGCCCCGUGCUUAACCUGGGAAUUGCGUUUGAAACUACAAGGCUAGAGUGCAGCAGAGGGUAGUGGAAUUCCACGUGUAGCAGUGAAAUGCGUAGAGAUGUGGAAGAACACCGAUGGCGAAGGCAGCUCCCUGGGUUGACCCUGACGCUCAUGCACGAAAGCGUGGGGAGCAAACA
rnacentral:rRNA from 1 species